AUUGAACGCUGGCGGCAGGCCUAACACAUGCAAGUCGAGCGAGCGGCGGGCGGGUGAGUAAUGUCUGGGAAACUGCCUGAUGGAGGGGGAUAACUACGGGAAACGGUAGCUAAUACCGCAUACCAUGAGAUGUGCGCAGAUGGGAUUAGAUAGUAGGUGGGGUAACGGCUCACCUAGGCGAGGAUCCCUAGCUGGUCUGAGAGGAUGACCAGCCACACUGGAACUGAGACACGGCCCAGACUCCUACGGGAGGCAGCAGUGGGGAAUAUUGCACAAUGGGCGCAAGCCUGAUGCAGCCAUGCCGCGUGUGUGAAGAAGGCCUUCGGUUUGUAAAGCACUUUCAGCGGGGAGGCGUUACCCGAAGAGGAAGCACCGGCUAACUCCGUGCCAGCAGCCGCGGUAAUUC
rnacentral:rRNA from 1 species